GGGAGGGACCCCGUGGAAGGUGAUUGGAUCAUGAGGGUGGUUCCCUCAUGCUGUUCUUGGGAUAGUGGGUUCUAUAAAAUUUAUGGUUUUAUAAUGCAGUUUUCCCUUCUCUUGCAUGCUCUCUCUCCCCUGUCACCAUGUAAGACGUACCUCUUCCCCUUUUGCCAUGAUUAUAAGUUUCCUGAAGCCUCCCCAGCCAUGCAGAACUGUGAGUCAAUUAAACCUCUUUUCUUUAUAAAUUACCCAGUCUCGGGUAUGUCUUUAUAGCAGUGUGAAGACGGACUAAUACAAUAUGCUAAUGCAAGUGGGAAAACUAAGAUUGAUUUUGGAAUGAAACAUGCAGUCUCAACUUAAGAACACCCAAUUUACAAAACUAUAUAUAUCCAGACAGAGUCAUACUGAAUGCCAUGUUCUCCCACAUCAAUGUCAAAUGCUUAGCAUGGCCAGCAAAAAGCUGUUCCUUUGCUGUAAUGCAACCGUGUCUUCUGAAUAUGGAUCCAUAUUCACUUUCCAUCUUAUCCUCCAUCAGACACACUCUUCUUUUCCUAAAGCAUUUGCAGGGCAACAGAGGGUUCCAGGUUUCAGAAUUUAAACAGUCGUAUCUCAUUGAAAAUAAGUUUAAUGAUUAUUAAGUUUCCAAGCUAGAUUACAGAAGUCUUUUUAGCCCAUAUCAUAAAUAAAAUAGUUCUGAAUUUUUCGUAUGGAAAAAUAUACUCUGAGUUCCAAGCAAACAACUUAAGAAAAUUUUUAGAACUAACACAUUCCUAUAUUGGGAAGAGCUCAAAAGUCUGUUCUUCCUCCCCAUCCACUGUUGUUUAAUUAAUCUCUUAAUAUCAUAAAGUCCCUCAUGUGCCAAGUGUAGACAGUCAUUUUUGAAUCAGGGCUCACUUUGUUAGCUUUUUUGUCAAUUAAACCUCUUUUCUAUAUAAAUUACCGAGUCUCAAGUAUGUCUUCAUAGCAGUGUGAAAACAGACUAAUACAGGAAUUUGGUACCAGGAGUGGGGCAUUGCUAUAAAGAUACUUGAAAGUGUGGAAGCACCUUUGGAACUGGGUAACGGGUAGAGGUUGGAAGAGUUUGGAGGGCUCAGAAGAAGACAGGAAGAUGAAGGAAAGUUUGGAGCUUCCUGGAGACUUGUUGAAUGGUUUUAACCAAAAUGCUGACAGUGAUGUGGACGAUUAAGUCCACACUGAGGUGGUCUCAGAAGGAGAUGAGGAACUUAUUGGGAACUGGAGUUGCCAAUAGAUCAGCAGUUAACCAGAAGCUUGAGUUGAGUAUGGACCUGACAUAUGGAUAGACAUAUUGACAUCUUAUGCUAGUGUUCUGGCCCUCCCUGCCCCGACAGUGAUAGAAGCAUCCAUCAACGCCCAUCCUGACAUCAGCAUAAAGCACAGGUUGGAGAGAUUGUAGAUAAAGGCAGAGAGGCUAUUAUAAUGCUUCUCACCUCCAGUUCCCCAGAUGGAAGACAAGGAGUAGGCUUCACAUGUCUCCCUUUCAGAAACAAAGCCACGUAAGACUCCAAAACCCCGCCUUCCCUUGGGCUCCACACAAUCAGCAUACAUCUUUCCUUAUCUGUUUUGUGCUCUGAAAAUCGUGUCUACCUCCAAAUGAUACAUCUUUAAAGUGAGUCACCCCUCCUCACAAUCUACUCCAAAAUUUCCAACAAGUUUUCUUCUUUUCAUUCUUCCUCCCACCAGCCUAUCCUAUUCCCUUCUCUCCCCCCACAAAAUCUAGCUCUUCUUUAAAUACAUUUAAACAUUUUCGCUAGGACAUUUCAUCUAUACAGGAUAUGCUAUAUUCUAACUAUUUCUUAGUAAACAUUGAAGGGAGUUUCUUCCUUUAUUCAAGUAUGGAACCCUGCUCAAUAUCCUUUUGGUCUUCAUAUGCCUUCUUUCAAGGCCUUUGUGAAAUUUUUUUCCAUGCCUGAAAGCCGGUGGGGUUUUACACAGGGACUGCGAUGGCUAAAUCCAAGGCAGAGUGGGAUCUUUAUCUAUUAACCAUUUGAUAACUCAAGUUUAUCCCUUGAUGAAUGAAUAAGUUAUCAUUUGCCUUUGGGUCCCAUUCUUGAGUGGUCAUGGAGAGUUCUGUAGCUCACCCUCUUUAUACUCAUAAUUUGCACAAAUUUCACCUAAGAGUAUUUACUUAACCACUUUAAUUCAAUUUGUCUCUACCUAAGACAUUUAAUUCAACAAAUAUUUUUUAAGCUUCUCUAUAAAAGGGACUCUGGCAACUUUCAGACCCGCACUGUAGCACCAGCUCUCUGCUGGCCCACCCCUUGCAGACUUUGGGCUUGCCUGCCUUCAAAAUCAUGUGAGUCAAUUCCUUAAAAUAAAUAUAUUUUUAUUUAUUUAUAUAUAUGUUUGCACACACACGCGAAUCUUAUUUUUUCUGUUUCUCUGGAGAAUUCUGACUAAUGCACCCCCAUUCACCAUCCAGGCUUUUGAGGAGAAAGAUACCAAUCUUAGCAGCAGAGGACACUCUGGAUAGAGCUAGGAGUUUGUUGCAGAGUCUGACAAAAGUUCCCUCUGCAGAAGGGAUGGAAGGAUAGCCUUGGGGGUUGAUUUAGGACUGGGUGUAUGACAUGGGGGAAAAGAAAUCCCUGGGGGAGCUAAAUGAGGGGAGGUGGACCCCUUAUGAUAGUUUAUCAGAGCAAUCUAAGAAAUCAUGUAGGCCUCUAAGAAAGCAUCAAGAAUCAAUGCAAUUUGAUUAAUUGACUUAAAAUAUGUUGAACUUUUCAGCCUCCAUUGUGUAUUUUUGGUGCAAUACUCUGUGCAACUAUUUCAUCCAAGACCAGAAGGGGCUGGAAGAUUGCCUGCUUCACAUUAAAACCCUCCUUAUUGUAUUGGUGCUGACACGACACAAGGAUAUGCAGUCUUUAUCCAGUCCUUAUUGCUCACAGAAAGAUACCAGUCCUUACUGCUCACAGAAAGUAGUGAAGCCUCCCUUCACUCACAGAGCCCACACAGGUAUGCCCUGGUUUAUGUAAUGAAUGGGCUGCUACAAAUAGGUGUGAUGCAUGCCUUUGUGAAUCACUUUAUAUUUUGAAGACACAUUAGAGGAGCUGGCUAUUUCAAAGAAAUUUCACAAGUGCCUCAUUUCUUAAUGUCACAAGCAUUUCUGAUUUAUAAUCAUAACCCCUUUCUAAUGUAUUAGCUUAUGAAGUUCCAUUUUUUGCCUAAGAGGUUUAAUCAAAGCAAGAUAAAACUAUGCUUAAUAAUAUUCAGUUACCUGAAAGAGCUAUUGCAGAAAUGCCUAAUAUAUUACCAGAAAGUAGCUUAAUGUCUCAAAUAAAUGUCAAGUUGUCCAAAUCAAACUGAUAGGCAGCUUAAUGAGGGAUAAAUGUCAUAAUUAUCCAUAUUUCUCCACAUUUUUUUUAGAAAAAAACAUUCACACAAUGAAGGGAAUCAGAAUCUGUUUUUAUAUCCCUAGAGUUAUAAACAUUUGUAUCAAAAUAUUUACAAUUAUAGUA
rnacentral:lncRNA from 1 species